GAUGAACGCUAGCGGCAGGCUUAAUACAUGCAAGUCGUGGGGCAGCAGGGGUGUAGCAAUACAUCUGCUGGCGACCGGCAAACGGGUGCGUAACACGUACGCAACCUUCCCGUUACUGUGGCAUAGCCCAGGGAAACUUGGAUUAAUACCACAUAUUAUAUAGAGAGGGCAUCCUUUUUAUAUCAAAGCUUCGGCGGUAAUGGAUGGGCGUGCGGUUGAUUAGGUAGUUGGCGGGGUAACGGCCCACCAAGCCUACGAUCAAUAGCUGAUGUGAGAGCAUGAUCAGCCACACGGGCACUGAGACACGGGCCCGACUCCUACGGGAGGCAGCAGUAAGGAAUAUUGGGCAAUGGACGAAAGUCUGACCCAGCCAUGCCGCGUGAAGGAUUAAGGUCCUCUGGAUUGUAAACUUCUUUUCUCUGGGGCGAAAACCAGCUAUUCUUAGCUAUUUGACAGUACCAGAGGAAUAAGCACCGGCUAACUCCGUGCCAGCAGCCGCCGUAAAAC
rnacentral:rRNA from 1 species